CUUCUACUAACAUUUUUAAAGUUUUCAUUGUGAAUCACCUGUUUAUCUCUAAUUCAUUAAUCAUUUGCUACUUAUAUUUAUUUGAUAGUGUCAAUGUCAUAUAGUGAAUAAUGCGUUUACAAACAAGCAAUCCUGGAUAUGAUAUAGACGAUGCAAGCUGUCCAUUAAAAAAUAACGGUAUUCUAUUUCACAAAGCAAAAAUUUAAAUCUCACUUGUAUAUAUUAAGAAUGCAUAUAAAGCAAAAAAUUAAAGCUUAUUCAUGCCAAAACGAAAGCUGUUUACAAAAUUUAUAAAGGUGGUGAACACUACUAAACAGUGCUCAUUGAAAGACAUGUAUAAUAUAGUGACAUAUAAUUUGCCGUUUGACUUAUCUUUGGUGUAUGAUUUUAAUACCGUACAUUUUCAACAGAC